rnacentral:rRNA from 1 species
UAAGCAUGAAGCCCCCCUCAAGAUGAGAUUUCCCAACUUCGGUUAUAAGAUCCCUCAGAGAUGAUGAGGUUAAUAGGUUCGAGGUGGAAGCGUGGUGACACGUGGAGCUGACGAAUACUAAUCGAUCGAAGACUUAAUCAA